GUCCCAGUUCGGAUUGUAGUCUGCAACCCGACUACAUGAAGCUGGAAUCGCUAGUAAUCGCGGAUCAGAAUGCCGCGGUGAAUACGUUCCCGGGUCUUGUACACACCGCCCGUCACACCAUGGGAGUUGGUAACGCCCGAAGUCAGUGACCCCAACCAAACGGGAGGGAGCUGCCGAAGGCGGGACCGGUAACUGGGGUGAAGUCGUAACAAGGUAUC
rnacentral:rRNA from 1 species